CUUGGCUCUUCUCUGAUGGGGGACAGGAAGCCUGCUAGGGUUAUCGACCGGGGUCCCCUAGGGCGAGCUUCCCCAGGAUACAACACACAACUGGUGUCUAACUCCCGAGUACCUAUUUGCUGCCAGAUGUUGACGGUGAGGAUGCUGGGGUCGGUGAUGGUGCUGAUGGCGGGGGUGGAGGCCCAGGCUGAUGGUAGCUUCUGGUGGUUGCAGAAGUUCACAACACCCACUCCCCCCACCACCACCACCCUCCAUGAGGCUGUGUACUGCGAGUGUGUCAAGUACUUCCUUUGUAUUGAUGGUGUCAUCAGCACCUCAGGAGAAGGUCUGCUCGACAUCCGCUCUUCCGACGAGUUCCCGCCAGUCACCAACGUCGACAAGUGUCCCAACGAUUUCGACGUCUGCUGCGGUCUUCCGCCAAAUCAAACAGCAACAACAGCCACCACUUCCCAGCCAACACUGGCCCCAGACACACCCUGUGAGUGCGUUCCUUUCAUCAACUGUACGAAUGACCGGCUAGUGAGUGACGGGCUUGGCAACACUACACUGGAGUUAUGGGGCCUCCAUUUCUCCCACUCGAAGUGCCUCCAAGUGUUGUCUGUGUGCUGUGCGCUCGACGCUGCCACAGCGGGCCCCACCCCACAGACCAGCUCCCUCGCCACAAAGAACUGUGAGUGCGUGCAAUACUUCCAGUGUGAUGAUGAUGGCUACAUCAUCACCCAUGGCGUCGGCCUCUUAGACGUUCGAUCUGGGACACGUCCCCACAUCGAGCCUCUCGCUAAUGGAGUCUGCGAGGACCCAAGCCUGGUCUGCUGCCUCCUUCCUCAAGACUAUUCUACCACCGUCAAUGCUACUACCACCAUCAAUACAACAACCGCGGAUGCUACUGCCACCACCACUCUCCCGACUACUACCACAACCCAGGAACCUGCCCCCAGCUGCGGUACGAGAAAUUCUGAUGGAGUACAAGUGCGCAUCCUGGGGUUCCAAGGCGGCGAGAGUCAGUUCGGAGAGUUUCCUUGGGUGGCGGCCAUGCUGACCCUGGAUCAGCUCAUGGGCAUUACCAUCAGAAGGUUCGUCGGGGGAGGCACUCUGAUCCACCCUCGGGUCGUCGUCACCGCCGCUCACAAGGUUUUGGGAUAUAAUGGGGGUAUCCUGAUGGUGAGGGUUGGAGAGUGGGAUACACAGGCGGAGAUUGAGCCGUUCCCUCACCAGGACCUGGAGGUGCAGGAGGUGGUGGUCCAUCCACACUUCGACUCUCGGUCACUUCACUAUGACAUUGCCCUUCUCUUCCUCAAGGAAGAAGCUCAGUUGAUGUCACACAUUGGCACCAUCUGCUUAGCUGAGGACCUUAGUCUGGUCAACCACAGUGCCUGUGUCAUCAAUGGAUGGGGGGUCAAUGCCCUUCAAGAUGGAGAUUACCAGAAGAUCAUGAAAAGUUUGACGAUUCCAUUGGUUAAUCCAAAGAAUUGCGUCACUAGCCUGCGAACUACGAGGCUUGGACGAUUCUUCCGGCUGCACAAGUCUUUCAUAUGUGCUGGAGGAGAGAAAGGCAAGGAUGCCUGUAGAGGAGAUGGUGGUGGACCCUUGGCAUGUCCCCGAAUAGAUAACCCAAAACGGUACAUGUUAGUGGGCAUGACUGCCUGGGGCAUUGGCUGUGGUGAAGAUGGUAUACCUGGGGUAUAUGUCAGCAUUCCUGAACACUAUAAUUGGAUCAACUGGCACAUCUAUAACCGUUAUCCGACUACAACUACCUCGACCACAACUGAAAGGCCUUCAACUCCACACUAUUUGCAAGAUUUAAAAGUCAGUGGUCAGAGCAGAGACGUCAAAGUCAUAAACAGCCCAAGACUUGUCACACAAUAAAGAAACACCAGAGUGGAUGAGACAAGCAGAAAGCAUGAAAGGAGGAUCAUGAAAAAAACGACAGCAAGAAUAUCAAAAUGGUAAUGUCAUUAAAGAAUGGUCAGAGAGCACAGAACAGUCAGAUGUGAAACAGACUGGAAGAGAACAAUACUUUGAAGAACAAGCACAAGAACAUAGGGUACAUCGUCACAGAGAAAACAAAAAAGGCUUUUCGACAUCAGGAAAGGCAGCGAGGGG
rnacentral:misc_RNA from 1 species